rnacentral:rRNA from 1 species
GAUGAACGCUGGCGGCGUGCCUAAUACAUGCAAGUAGAACGCUGAAGGAAGGAGCUUGCUCUUUCCGGAUGAGUUGCGAACGGGUGAGUAACGCGUAGGUAACCUGCCUGGUAGCGGGGGAUAACUAUUGGAAACGAUAGCUAAUACCGCAUAACAGUAGAUGUUGCAUGUUAUCUACUUAAAAGGUGCAAUUGCACCACUACCAGAUGGACCUGCGUUGUAUUAGCUAGUUGGUGAGGUAACGGCUCACCAAGGCGACGAUACAUAGCCGACCUGAGAGGGUGAUCGGCCACACUGGGACUGAGACACGGCCCAGACUCCUACGGGAGGCAGCAGUAGGGAAUCUUCGGCAAUGGACGGAAGUCUGACCGAGCAACGCCGCGUGAGUGAAGAAGGUUUUCGGAUCGUAAAGCUCUGUUGUAAGAGAAGAACGAGUGUGAGAGUGGAAAGUUCACACUGUGACGGUAUCUUACCAGAAAGGGACGGCUAACUACGUG